rnacentral:lncRNA from 1 species
CCUCCACUCGAAGCCCCACAUAUCUGCCUCUUUCAAUUUCUAAUUUAUGUGCACUGACUCUGAACUUAGUGAGCAGUCGCCUUUCAUCCUCAUUUAAAAUUAAUAAGUACUUUUCCAUAUGAAUAUUUUCUUUAAAUAAUCUGUAAGUUCUUAGUUUAUUUCCAUGCUGUUUAUUUUGUCUAUCAUUGUAAAGUUCAGAUUUCCAGAUACAAGAAUAUUUCUGUUUUAAUUUCCGGUAAAUUAGUGAUUUUAAAUCCAUCUUUGAAUUUUUAACAAGUUUAAGAUCUAUAUCAAGAUAUUUCAUAAGAAUAGCAAUACAACUAUACCAACUAUUUUUGUUUAAACUAUUUAGUGAUCUAGAGACAUUCAGGGCUUCAGAGAGAAGGAUAUCAUCAGACUUUAAUAUAUAUUUAUAAUAUCUAAA